GGCAGAUUCUAAAGAAAUUCUGGAAGCUGUUGUCAUCCAGGUACACCCUGAGAGCAAAGAAGCUGUGGAGGAAAAAAGAGGGUUUUUGAAAUCAAAUUAAAGGCUUAAAAAGCAUGUUCACUUUGGAAGCAAAGGAACAUCAUACCCUCCAACAACA
rnacentral:lncRNA from 11 species